rnacentral:rRNA from 1 species
GACGAACGCUGGCGGCGUGCUUAACACAUGCAAGUCGAACGAGGAUCGCCUGUGUAGCAAUACAUAGGUGGUUCUAGUGGCGCACGGGUGAGUCACACGUGGGCAACCUGCCCUUGAGUCCGGGAUACCCUCUCGAAAGGGAGGCUAAUACUGGAUACGUUCCUCGGGUCGCAAGAUCUGGGGAGGAAAGGUGGCGAAAGCUACCGCUCUUGGAGGGGCUCGCGGCCUAUCAGCUAGUUGGUGAGGUAACGGCUCACCAAGGCUAUGACGGGUAGCUGGUCUGAGAGGAUGAGCCGCCACACUGGAACUGAGACACGGUCCAGACUCCUACGGGAGGCAGCAGUGGGGAAUUUUGGACAAUGGGGGCAACCCUGAUCCAGCCAUGCCGCGUGAGUGAAGAAGGCCUUCGGGUUGUAAAGCUCUUUCGUCCGGGAAGAAAUCGCAUCAGCUAAUACCUGGUGUGGAUGACGGUACCGGAAUAAGAAGCACCGGCUAACUACGUGCCAGCCGCCGCAGUAAUAC